UACGGAGGGUGCGAGCGUUGUCCGGAAUCAUUGGGCGUAAAGGGCGCGUAGGUGGCCCGGUCAGUCUUUGGUGAAAGCGCGGGGCUCAACCCUGCGUCGGCCAGGGAUACUGCCGCGGCUCGAGCACUGUAGAGGCAGGCGGAAUUCCGGGUGUAGCGGUGGAAUGCGUAGAGAUCCGGAAGAAGACCGGUGGCGAAGGCGGCCUGCUGGGCAGAUACUGACACUGAGGCGCGACAGCGUGGGGAGCAAACAGG
rnacentral:rRNA from 1 species